rnacentral:rRNA from 1 species
UACGUAGGGUGCAAGCGUUAAUCGGAAUUACUGGGCGUAAAGCGUGCGCAGGCGGUUUUGUAAGUCUGACGUGAAAUCCCCGGGCUCAACCUGGGAAUUGCGUUGGAGACUGCAAGGCUAGAAUCUGGCAGAGGGGGGUAGAAUUCCACGUGUAGCAGUGAAAUGCGUAGAGAUGUGGAGGAACACCGAUGGCGAAGGCA